rnacentral:rRNA from 1 species
GCCCUACAGCUAGCCCUCCCCACAAAUCACAACAACCCCACUAUAAAUAACCCCUAAGUACCCCAGUACUUAAAUCAACAAACCAUUUUUCCCCCUCAGUAUAGGAGAUAGAAAAGGGACUAAGGCGCGAUAGAGAAAGUACCGCAAGGGAAUGCUGAAAAAGAAAUGAAACAACCCAGUAAAGCCUAAAAAAGCAGAGCCUCAGCCUCGUACCUUUUGCAUCAUGAUUUAGUAAGUGUACCCCAAGCAAAGAGUACUUUAGUUUGACACCCCGAAACUUGGUGAGCUACUCCAAGGCAGCCUAAUUAAUAGGGCCUACCCGUCUCUGUUGCAAAAGAGUGGGGAGACCUUCGAGUAGAGGUGACAAACCUACCGAACCUAGUUAUAGCUGGUUGCCCAAUAAAUGAAUAGAAGUUCAGCCUCUUGGCUUCUCUUUUCACCCACAGUUUUAACCCUGCUGAUCCCCUAAAGAAACCAAGAGAGUUAGUCAAAGGGGGUACAGCCCCUUUGAAUCAAGACACAACUUUCCCAGGCGGGU